rnacentral:rRNA from 1 species
UUAAGCGACUAAGCGUACACGGUGGAUGCCCUGGCAGUCAGAGGCGAUGAAGGACGUGCUAAUCUGCGAUAAGCGUCGGUAAGGUGAUAUGAACCGUUAUAACCGGCGAUUUCCGAAUGGGGAAACCCAGUGUGAUUCGUCACACUAUCAUUAACUGAAUCCAUAGGUUAAUGAGGCGAACCGGGGGAACUGAAACAUCUAAGUACCCCGAGGAAAAGAAAUCAACCGAGAUUCCCCCAGUAGCGGCGAGCGAACGGGGAGCAGCCCAGAGCCUGAAUCAGUGUGUGUGUUAGUGGAAGCGUCUGGAAAGGCGCGCGAUACAGGGUGACAGCCCCGUACACAAAAAUGCACAUGCUGUGAGCUCGAUGAGUAGGGCGGGACACGUGGUAUCCUGUCUGAAUAUGGGGGGACCAUCCUCCAAGGCUAAAUACUCCUGACUGACCGAUAGUGAACCAGUACCGUGAGGGAAAGGCGAAAAGAACCCCGGCGAGGGGAGUGAAAAAGAACCUGAAACCGUGUACGUACAAGCAGUGGGAGCCUCUUUAUGGGGUGACUGCGUACCUUUUGUAUAAUGGGUCAGCGACUUAUAUUCUGUAGCAAGGUUAACCGAAUAGGGGAGCCGAAGGGAAACCGAGUCUUAACUGGGCGUUAAGUUGCAGGGUAUAGACCCGAAACCCGGUGAUCUAGCCAUGGGCAGGUUGAAGGUUGGGUAACACUAACUGGAGGACCGAACCGACUAAUGUUGAAAAAUUAGCGGAUGACUUGUGGCUGGGGGUGAAAGGCCAAUCAAACCGGGAGAUAGCUGGUUCUCCCCGAAAGCUAUUUAGGUAGCGCCUCGUGAAUUCAUCUCCGGGGGUAGAGCACUGUUUCGGCAAGGGGGUCAUCCCGACUUACCAACCCGAUGCAAACUGCGAAUACCGGAGAAUGUUAUCACGGGAGACACACGGCGGGUGCUAACGUCCGUCGUGAAGAGGGAAACAACCCAGACCGCCAGCUAAGGUCCCAAAGUCAUGGUUAAGUGGGAAACGAUGUGGGAAGGCCCAGACAGCCAGGAUGUUGGCUUAGAAGCAGCCAUCAUUUAAAGAAAGCGUAAUAGCUCACUGGUCGAGUCGGCCUGCGCGGAAGAUGUAACGGGGCUAAACCAUGCACCGAAGCUGCGGCAGCGACGCUUAUGCGUUGUUGGGUAGGGGAGCGUUCUGUAAGCCUGUGAAGGUGUACUGUGAGGUAUGCUGGAGGUAUCAGAAGUGCGAAUGCUGACAUAAGUAACGAUAAAGCGGGUGAAAAGCCCGCUCGCCGGAAGACCAAGGGUUCCUGUCCAACGUUAAUCGGGGCAGGGUGAGUCGACCCCUAAGGCGAGGCCGAAAGGCGUAGUCGAUGGGAAACAGGUUAAUAUUCCUGUACUUGGUGUUACUGCGAAGGGGGGACGGAGAAGGCUAUGUUGGCCGGGCGACGGUUGUCCCGGUUUAAGCGUGUAGGCUGGUUUUCCAGGCAAAUCCGGAAAAUCAAGGCUGAGGCGUGAUGACGAGGCACUACGGUGCUGAAGCAACAAAUGCCCUGCUUCCAGGAAAAGCCUCUAAGCAUCAGGUAACAUCAAAUCGUACCCCAAACCGACACAGGUGGUCAGGUAGAGAAUACCAAGGCGCUUGAGAGAACUCGGGUGAAGGAACUAGGCAAAAUGGUGCCGUAACUUCGGGAGAAGGCACGCUGAUAUGUAGGUGAAGCGACUUGCUCGUGGAGCUGAAAUCAGUCGAAGAUACCAGCUGGCUGCAACUGUUUAUUAAAAACACAGCACUGUGCAAACACGAAAGUGGACGUAUACGGUGUGACGCCUGCCCGGUGCCGGAAGGUUAAUUGAUGGGGUCAGCGCAAGCGAAGCUCUUGAUCGAAGCCCCGGUAAACGGCGGCCGUAACUAUAACGGUCCUAAGGUAGCGAAAUUCCUUGUCGGGUAAGUUCCGACCUGCACGAAUGGCGUAAUGAUGGCCAGGCUGUCUCCACCCGAGACUCAGUGAAAUUGAACUCGCUGUGAAGAUGCAGUGUACCCGCGGCAAGACGGAAAGACCCCGUGAACCUUUACUAUAGCUUGACACUGAACAUUGAGCCUUGAUGUGUAGGAUAGGUGGGAGGCUUUGAAGUGUGGACGCCAGUCUGCAUGGAGCCGACCUUGAAAUACCACCCUUUAAUGUUUGAUGUUCUAACGUUGACCCGUAAUCCGGGUUGCGGACAGUGUCUGGUGGGUAGUUUGACUGGGGCGGUCUCCUCCUAAAGAGUAACGGAGGAGCACGAAGGUUGGCUAAUCCUGGUCGGACAUCAGGAGGUUAGUGCAAUGGCAUAAGCCAGCUUGACUGCGAGCGUGACGGCGCGAGCAGGUGCGAAAGCAGGUCAUAGUGAUCCGGUGGUUCUGAAUGGAAGGGCCAUCGCUCAACGGAUAAAAGGUACUCCGGGGAUAACAGGCUGAUACCGCCCAAGAGUUCAUAUCGACGGCGGUGUUUGGCACCUCGAUGUCGGCUCAUCACAUCCUGGGGCUGAAGUAGGUCCCAAGGGUAUGGCUGUUCGCCAUUUAAAGUGGUACGCGAGCUGGGUUUAGAACGUCGUGAGACAGUUCGGUCCCUAUCUGCCGUGGGCGCUGGAGAACUGAGGGGGGCUGCUCCUAGUACGAGAGGACCGGAGUGGACGCAUCACUGGUGUUCGGGUUGUCAUGCCAAUGGCACUGCCCGGUAGCUAAAUGCGGAAGAGAUAAGUGCUGAAAGCAUCUAAGCACGAAACUUGCCCCGAGAUGAGUUCUCCC